rnacentral:rRNA from 1 species
UGGGGAAUUGUUCGCAAUGGGCGCAAGCCUGACGACGCAACGCCGCGUGGGGGAUGAAGGUCUUCGGAUUGUAAACCCCUGUCGAGCGGGACGAACGGCUCCCGAGCUAAUCAUCGGGAGAGUGACGGUACCGCUAAAGGAAGCCACGGCUAACUCUGUGCCAGCAGCCGCGGUAAUACAGAGGUGGCAAGCGUUGUUCGGAAUUACUGGGCGUAAAGGGCGCGUAGGCGGCCUCUUUAGUCAGACGUGAAAUCCCCCGGCUUAACCUGGGAACUGCGUCUGAUACUGGGAGGCUUGAGUUCGGGAGAGGGAUGUAGAAUUCCAGGUGUAGCGGUGAAAUGCGUAGAUAUCUGGAGGAAUACCGGUGGCGAAGGCGGCAUCCUGGACCGAAACUGACGCUGAGGCGCGAAAGCUAGGGGAGCAAACGGG